UCAGGAGAUCCCAUUUUUCGGGUUUCUGAUGUUUCUUUGCAGCUUGCAAAUGCCUCUAUUUUUUAGCUGAAAUAGCUAAAGUUGAGAAAGAACAAUUGGAGCUUUGAGUCUUGCACUUGGGAGUGUAAAUUUGGAUUUACAAAUGGGUUUUUUGUUUAAAUUUUUUGGUUGUGAUUUUGGGGAUUUUGUUUAUGGCCUCGAAUUCUGGGUGAUGGUGGUUAAUUUGGUUUUGUUUUUGGUUUUAGGGGAUCCGGUUUUUCGAGUUUCUGACGUUUCUUUGCAGCCUGAGAAGGCCUCUCUGUAUUUAAAGAAAUCGCCAAUCCUGCAGAAACUUUGGGUUUUUCUGAGAUCUCCGCCAUCACUGCUCCACCAAACUCGCCGUUAGCUUCCGCUCUCUCAACCCAGAAGUUAGUGGCCAUUCGUUAACCGGAAUGAGAAUUCGACGGCACCUUAUUCGUUUCUGCCACGAAACUGUCAACUACUCUCUCCGU